GCACCCGUAGCUCAGCUGGAUAGAGCGCUGCCCUCCGAAGGCAGAGGUCAGGGGUUCGAAUCCCUUCGGGUGCA
rnacentral:tRNA from 2 species